GACGAACGCUGGCGGCGUGCUUAACACAUGCAAGUCGAACGGAAAGGCCUGCUUUCCCUUGUGGAUUGCGGGUACUCGAGUGGCGAACGGGUGAGUAACACGUGAGUGAUCUGCCCCCAACUUGGGUAUAAGCCUGGGAAACUGGGUCUAAUUCCCGAUAGGACUGCAGGGUGGUGCCUGUGGUGGAAAACGAUUUUCUAGUGGUUGGGGAUGAGCUCGCGGCCUAUCAGCUUGUUGGUGGGGUAAUGGCCUACCAAGGCGGCGACGGGUAGCCGGCCUGGGAGGGUGGACGGCGACAUUGGGACUGGGAUACGGCCCAGACUGCUACGGGAGGCAGGAGUGGGGAAUAAUGCACAAUAGGCGGAAGCCUGAAGCAGCGACGCCGCGUGGGGGAUGACGGCCUUCGGGUUGUAGACUCCUUUCGACCGAGAGGAAGCCACCUGGUUGGAAGGGUAGUGACGGUAGUGGUAGAAGAAGCACCGGCUAACUACGUG
rnacentral:rRNA from 1 species